AACGAACGCUGGCGGCUGGCUUAACACAUGCAAGUCGAACGCAUCGCAAGAUGAGUGGCAGACGGGUGAGUAACGCGUGGGAACAUACCCUUUUCUACGGAAUAGCUCCGGGAAACUGGAAUUAAUACCGUAUACGCCCUACGGGGGAAAGAUUUAUCGGGGAAGGAUUGGCCCGCGUUGGAUUAGCUAGUUGGUGGGGUAAAGGCCUACCAAGGCGACGAUCCAUAGCUGGUAUGAGAGGAUGAGCAGCCACAUUGGGACUGAGACACGGCCCAAAUGCUUUCGAUAGUCAGCAGUGGGGAAUAUUGGACAUUGGGCGCAAGCCUGUUCCAGCCAUGCCGCGUUAGUGAUGAAGGCCUUAGGGUUGUAAAGCUCUUUCACCGGUCAAGAUAAUGACGGUAGUCGGAGAAGAAGCCCCGGCUAACUUCGUGCCAGCAGCCGCCGUAA
rnacentral:rRNA from 1 species